GCCUGUGACCUAAUUACCCUGCAAUGCACCUGAUCUUGUUAGAUUUCAAAAGCGAAACAGGGUUAAGCCUGGUUAGUACUUGGAUUUGGAGACUAGCUGGAACAAUCAAGAGUUGCAGGCU
rnacentral:rRNA from 1 species